rnacentral:lncRNA from 1 species
GUCGUCCCAAUCGUGGCCGAAUCGGAUGAUGACGACGCGUUCUUCCUCGGUGAGGAUGGCCUGAUCGACGGCCCAACCUGAGUGAAGGUGCGGCAACAGGUACGACAUCGUUUCGCUUCUCUAUUUUUUAUUUUUCCUCUUCUCGUGAAUGCUCUAGAAAUCUCCAAUUGGAAUUGAAAAUAGUGGUUACCGAGGCCGGGGCAAAAAGAGUGGCCUCGGAAAUUUAUAGGGUCGUUCAAAUCAAUGAAGCGAAGCGUCUAGAAGACAAGUCGCUGAUAAAAUCCCACCAACAUUGCUUCUAAUUUUGAUGCGGUGAUCUUACGCAAUCUGAUUGCGCCACGUGUGUGUAUUACCUUUGAUGUGAGCGAGGAAUCUGUGGACCAACUGCUCGAUCGUUGGUCUGAAUUUUGUCACUCAUUAAAUUGAAAAAGAAUUUUAGCUGAAAUAAAAUUGAAAGAAGUAAGUAAGGUAAGCUAAUUUACACAAAAUUAUACGUUUUAUAUAAAUUAGUUUCUUAAAAUAAUUAUUUGAUUUUAUUAAAAUUUAAUAUUCUAAUUGAAAUUUAUUUAUUAAAAUUGAUAUAAUUAUAAAUAUUAAGAGUAAUGUUAGGUAUCCUAAUAUUUAAAUCUUAAUUUUGAUCCCAUGUGAGAUGGUGGUUAAAUAAAUUUAAUAAAUGUAAAAUUUAUUAUUCAAUAAAUGAAUGAUGCAUGGUAUUAUGGUUUAAAUUAGAACUCAAAUAUCGGGAUUCUUAACAUUAUUAAAAAAUUGGGAUCUUUUAACAUUAUUGAAAUAUUAAAGGUUCUUUUUCAGGAUCUUAGAUAACAUUAGUUGCUUAAUAAAAAGAACUUCCGUAACAAGCCACAAGCUCAGUCGGACAAUUUUCUAAAAGGUCCUUUGCAGUAUGGGGCUGCAAACAUUGUUUGGAAAGCUCCUUCGCAUUUUACAAGUCCACAUCUUUUUGAAAAUGCAGGAGCAACUACAUUUCGGAUAAGCUAUUCUAAGGUGGCUGUUUGAGUGGUUAAAAUGCCACCGCCUACACGUGCACAUAUCUAGUCGAGACUGUAAUCUCCCUGUGAUUAAAGCAAUGUUCGAGUAGAUUCGUAA